CAAGGGGCAUAGUGGUCAUUUUUUUUGGAUAAGAAUGCCACCGCCCUUUUCAUGUUUAUCCCUUCAAAUUAACAGAGAGUGUGCACUUUUUGUUCUCUCUAGUUAAUUACGUGCAUGGUGGAGAGCACGGGUAGAGGUGCCGAGGAGCUCGGAUUCGACGCCGACGACGCGCCGCGAAGCCGUUCGAGGGUACGGCUGGGAUCGUAGCGCUGCGAGGAAGCUAGGCGAGGGUGUGUUUUCGCCGUUCUCGACGCCACGUCGAUGUCCGAUUAGCCAUUGAGCGUCGACCGUCGGUAUUUCAAUUCGUACUCGGCGUAGGAGCGUCGGUUUUCGACGGGACUUGGUUCGUUGGAUUCGGGACUUCGAGAGGAAUCCAUGAAGCCCUUACUUGCUGGAUUUGGUAAAGGUUUGCUAGAGUUUGGCGGGAGCUUGACUUCGGGCCUUGGGAGGUUUUCGGACGUUUCGGCAGGUUGUUCCGCAGCCGAAGGGAGUUCCGUGCUGCCAGGAAUUAGCAAUCGAGGUGGGUUACAUCGGUUUUGACUCCUUAGUUCUAAUC